UACGGAGGGGGCUAGCGUUGUUCGGAAUUACUGGGCGUAAAGCGCACGUAGGCGGCCGUUUAAGUUAGAGGUGAAAGCCCGGGGCUCAACCCCGGAAUUGCCUUUGAUACUGGAUGGCUUGAAUCCAGGAGAGGUGAGUGGAAUUCCGAGUGUAGAGGUGAAAUUCGUAGAUAUUCGGAAGAACACCAGUGGCGAAGGCGGCUCACUGGACCGGCAUUGACGCUGAGGUGGCGAAAGCGUGGGGAGCAAACAGGG
rnacentral:rRNA from 1 species